GCAAGUCGAGGGAGAAGCUACUUUCGGGUAGUGGAGACCGGCAGACGGGUGAGUAACACGUGGGAACAUACCUAGUAGUGGGGGAUAACAGUUGGAAACGACUGCUAAUACCGCAUACGCCCUUCGGGGGAAAGAUUUAUCGCUAUUAGAUUGGCCCGCGUUAGAUUAGCUAGUUGGUAAGGUAACGGCUUACCAAGGCGACGAUCUAUAGCUGGUUUGAGAGGAUGAUC
rnacentral:rRNA from 1 species